rnacentral:miRNA from 1 species
GGGGCUGGGAGUGUGGCUCAGAGGUUGAAGUAGUUGCAAAGUGCGGGGGCUGGGGGCAGGAUCCUGCUGCCGUGGCC